rfam:Triticum aestivum genome assembly, contig: Triticum_aestivum_CS42_TGACv1_scaffold_231402_3B
GUAGUAUUCCCGCCGUCCCAAAAUUCUUGUCUUUCAUUUGUUUAGAUACGGAUGUAUCUAACACUAAAAUGUAACUAGAUACAUCCAUAUUUAGACAAAUUUAAGGCAAGAAUUUUGGGACGGAGGCAGUACAAA